AUACGGAGGGUGCAAGCGUUACUCGGAAUCACUGGGCGUAAAGCGCGCGCAGGCGGGCUGAUAAGUUGGAUGUGAAAGCCUACGGCUCAACCGUAGAACUGCAUCCAAAACUGGCAGUCUAGAGUGUGGGAGAGGAAGAUGGAAUUAGUUGUGUAGGGGUAAAAUCCGUAGAGAUAUCUAGGAAUACCAAAAGCGAAGGCAAUCUUCUGGAACACUACUGACGCUGAGGCGCGAAGGCGUGGGGAGCAAACAGGAUUAGAAACCCUAGUAGUCC
rnacentral:rRNA from 1 species